UAAGGAUGAUAUAUUUGAUCCAUAUAUUCUACAGUAAUCUAAGCUGAUGGUGGUUACUUGGUGGUGUAAUGAGCGCCGAGAAGAGUGUCACAGUUCUGGUAUCUGGGAGAAAUAUUAUUGUUCGAUUUUUCCAUCAAGCACUAGAUUAGAGUAAAUAAAUUAUAUUAUCAAUUAUAUUUUCAGCAUGACUCAUACGGCUUCAAUGCAAAUGAAAAACAAAAAACAAACCAGAUAACCUAAAUUAGUAGACAACAGAAAGUAAAGAAGUGAAAAUAUGUGGAUGAAAUAAAGAAUCUCAUAGUUUACUGAGUACUUAAGUUAGUUUUCAAAAACUAACAGUAGCCAGUUGAGUUAGCGUGAGUGGUUUAUUUGUCUCAUUCAAUCCACCGCUAUGUGAAACAGUGGUUCAAGUCCUACGGCCAGAUAAUGAAUUUUCACUGCCUAUCUCCAAUCCAUGCCAGGAAUCACUUUUUGAAAGGGAGGUGACAGUUUUCAACAGAUUUUUUUUCACAUAACC